UUGGACGGCCCAGAUAACCGCUCCGGCCCGAUUUUGGGUUUGGGGAGGAACUUCCGGACUCCACAAGGCAGUGCGCCGCUUGAAAAGGCGGGACGGCGGGGCCAUAUCACCCCGCUGGACGGAAAGUGCAGCAGAAAAUAAACCGCCCGCAAGGGUAAGGGUGAAAUGGUGGGGUAAGAGCCCACCGCGCGUUUGGCAACAAACGCGGCAAGGUAAACCCCGCAUGGAGCAAGGCCAAACCGGUCCACACGUUGCCCGCGUUCGCGACCAAGUAGGCCGCUUAGAGUAAUGGUUAUCCCGGCCCGCAAGGGCUGACAGAAUCCGGGGUAUCGGCCGUCCUCUGUU
rnacentral:RNase_P_RNA from 1 species